GGCCAAGGCCAGGGAGGACGAGGUUGCAUCCAUCAGCGAGAAGCGGCCGAUCCACCUGCGUGCUGUCACUGCAGGGAUAGCGCCGCCGUCUCCCUCUCCCCUGGUGGCACCUCCCUAUAUGUUGAGGACGAUUAUGUGGUUAUCUGUGGCAGUGUGCUCCUAUCCUCCCCGCCUCCAUACUU